rnacentral:lncRNA from 1 species
GUCCCGCGCGCCCGCAGCGUCCUGGCCGCCAUGGCCGGGCUCGUGGUGCGUGGAACUCAAGUGUCCUACAUAGGCCAGGACUGCAGAGAAAUUCCAGAGCACCUUGGCAGGGACUGUGGACAUUUCGCAAAGAGGCUUGAUCUGAGCUUUAACCUUCUGAGGUAUGUAACCUUCACAAGAUGUAGGCCAGGCCUGGGAGGCCCAGUCCUCCUGGGUACUUUAGGGCCAAGCAGAUAAAAGUCAAAUGUUCCAACUCCACAUGGGUUGUCCUUUUAUUCAGCAGAAGGCUCUGAGAUGCGUGGAAUCACACCCCAAAGGUUUCACUGUGUCCGGUGAUUCCUUGGCUGCCUUUUUUUGUGCUGCUGAAGAGGCAGGCAGCAUAUUGAGCCUCAUCCAUUUCACACGAGUUCCUAUGAGAGAGCCGUCAUAUUUUCACUGUGUUCUUUUCAUUUCUCACGGAUACCUGUGCAGACAGGUCAGAAUACUCUUGGGGAAGGA